UACGGAGGAUCCGAGCGUUAUCCGGAUUUAUUGGGUUUAAAGGGUGCGUAGGCGGCCUGUUAAGUCAGGGGUGAAAGACGGUAGCUCAACUAUCGCAGUGCCCUUGAUACUGAUGGGCUUGAAUGAACUAGAGGUAGGCGGAAUGUGACAAGUAGCGGUGAAAUGCAUAGAUAUGUCACAGAACACCAAUUGCGAAGGCAGCUUACUAUGGUUUGAUUGACACUGAGGCACGAAAGCGUGGGGAUCAAACAGG
rnacentral:rRNA from 1 species